AUGGUCCGACUUCUAAAAACUCCAGAGAGAAAGUCCCAAGACAUUGCCAAGGUAACGCUGUGCUGUGAGAUGUGGAAGCCCUGCAUGUCCUCAGGAGCCACUACUGCUCGCACCCAGGUGUGUCGGUGUUGGCAGCAAAGGGAGCAACUGCAGCAGUGCCUGACCACUGGAGAGCAAGACGACAGAGAUGAAGCCCUUAACUGCGUGUCCCACCUGCUCUCAUGCUGUCAUGUCCAAAGCGUACAUCAGCAACUUCCAAGUGAUUCUGAUGCAAAACUGUAUCCUAGCCGCAAUCUGAAGGUGGAGAAGAGGAAGAAAGAGCAAAGCUGAGCUCUCUCACAGAGCCACCGCAGCUCCCCGUGCUACAGGUGUUAGCGGCGGCACUCGAACUGAAGGAGCCUCUCCCUCAGCUCUCUCUUUAGCUGACCUGAUUACAGCUCUCAAGGUGAGAUCAUAGCAAAUGCAUAGAAAGUCUAAUGAGCUGAACCCAGAUUUGUGAAAAGGUGCAAAUCCUGGUUUAGUGUAUUGAAGAGUCUUCAGCUUGUAAGCACCUUUACUGGAGUCAACGCCAGCCGGAUUCAUGCCCACAAUCUGGGAAUAAAAGGCCCUCCUUUGUGUUACCGGCCCCCUAA
rnacentral:lncRNA from 1 species